UGAGGAUAAAGCCGGUUCUGGGAGGUUCGAGUCUUUUGGCUGCAUCUCUGUGUGCCGCAUUAGAGAGAAGGAGCCGUUGUCUUGACAGCCCGUCACUGUGGCGACCGAGCACAUUCCAGAGCUGAGAUGUUAUAGAAUCAGCUCUGAGGUCAAGAGCAUGGAAAGAUACAGCUAUGAGAAAACAUGUUGGAGUCCUUCGACUUGAACAUUCGCUCAUCAUGAACUGGAAUCUCACUUAAGAUGCCAGAAAAGCCCAAGAAGUUCAUUUCGUGGCCUGCCAUCAAACCCCUUCUCAGAAAUAAACAGCUGAACUGAAUCCUCCAAUGCAAUGCAUUUAAAGAGCGGCAACAUU